GAAAAACACAGCAGCAACCCUCUCCCCAAAAUCUCUCUUUCUCUUCCUCCCACAUCUGUCACUCUCUCUCUUCGUUCAUUAUCCCUCGGCCAGACCAGCAACGGGAGAUUGUCGGUGAACCUCCGGCGACCAUCAGCAGCAUCGGCACAGGCUCAUUGGGCAGUGAACAGCGGCAGCCAGCGCACUUUUUCGGUGAAACGCGCAAGAAGGAGCCGAAUAAUAUUUUUCCCUUUUUUGGCGAUUCCGAUGUUGGAUCGAAGUCAAACCAACGGCAUUCAACUCUUCUUCCACUGGGCUACCAGAUUCAACCAACCUUGCUCCCUAUCGUUGUAGGAAUUCGACAAAUCAAGGAGAGAAAAAUAGAAACUUCUAGGGCCAAUUCCAUUCAAUCAGACCAUCAAAUCGGCGAUCCAUGACCACCGAUGGACUUAAAGCAAUGAAACCUUCUAGAUGGGACAAAAACCACUCCAAUUGAAUACUGUUUGGAAAAAAUAAUAAUCAGACGAUCCAAAUCUCUUGGUGAGAUUUUCAAGCUUUUUCAAUGCUCGUGAAUUAAAUAUUGAUAAUUAUUAAUAAUUUAUGGAUUUCGUUUAUAUAUGAUCGGAUUGGCUAUAGCUCACUGAAACUCGGAAUUGAGUUUUCAGGCCAGGCUAGGUGCUCAAUGGGCUAUCUCAGAAGGC
rnacentral:misc_RNA from 1 species